rnacentral:rRNA from 1 species
AUUGAACGCUGGCGGCAGGCUUAACACAUGCAAGUCGAGCGGUGAGAGGUAGCUUGCUACUGAACUUAGCGGCGGACGGGUGUGUAAUGCUUAGGAAUCCGCCUACUAGUGGGGGACAACAUUUAGAAAGAAAUGCUAAUACCGCACACGUCCUACGGGAGAACGCAGGGGAUCUUAUUACCUUGCGAUAAUAGCUGAGUCUAAGUCGGAUUAGCUAGUUGGUGGGGUAAGGGCCUACCAAGGCGACGAACUGUAGCGGGUCUGAGAGGAUUAUCCGCCACACUGGGAAUGAGACACGUCCCAGACUCCUACGGGAGGCAGCAGUGGGGAAUAUUGGACAAUGGGCGCAAGCCUUAUUCAACCAUGCCGGGUGUGUGAAGAAGACCGUAUGGUUGUAAAGCACUUUAAGCGAGGUGGAGGCUACUUUAGUUAAUACUUAAAGAUAGUGAACGUUACUAGCAGAAUAUGCACCGGCUAACUCUGUGCCAGCCGCCGCCGUAAGAC